rnacentral:rRNA from 1 species
UACGGAGGAUCCAAGCGUUAUCCGGAUUUAUUGGGUUUAAAGGGUGCGUAGGCGGCUUAUUAAGUCAGGGGUGAAAGACGGUGGCUCAACCAUCGCAGUGCCCUUGAUACUGAUGAGCUUGAAUACACUUGAGGUAGGCGGAAUGUGACAAGUAGCGGUGAAAUGCAUAGAUAUGUCACAGAACACCAAUUGCGAAGGCAGCUUACUAAGGUGCAAUUGACGCUGAGGCACGAAAGCGUGGGUAGCAAACAGG